rnacentral:rRNA from 1 species
CCAGGUCUUGACAUCCUGAUGACCAUCCGGGUAACGCCGGACUCCCUUCGGGGCAUCAGAGACAGGUGGUGCAUGGUUGUCGUCAGCUCGUGUCGUGAGAUGUUGGGUUAAGUCCCGCAACGAGCGCAACCCUUGUCCUUAGUAGCCAGCGGUUUGGCCGGGCACUCUAGGGAGACUGCCGGGGAUAACCCGGAGGAAGGCGGGGAUGACGUCAAAUCAUCAUGCCCCUUAUGAUCUGGGCUACACACGUGCUACAAUGGUGGCUACAAAGAGACGCGAGCCCGCGAGGGUAAGCAAAUCCCAGAAAAGCCAUCCCAGUUCGGAUUGUAGUCUGCAACUCGACUACAUGAAGCUGGAAUCGCUAGUAAUCGCGAAUCAGCAUGUCGCGGUGAAUGCGUUCCCGGGUCUUGUACACACCGCCCGUCACGCCAUGGGAGUUGGUAAUGCCCGAAGUCAGUGGCCUAACCGCAAGGGAGGAGCUGCCGAAGGCAGGAUCAAUAACUGGGGUGAAGUCGUAACAAGGUAGCC